GUCAACUUAAGAUUUAUUAAAGGGACAAGCCCAACAGAGAACGAAGCCCAAUACAAAAAGGAAAAAACAGAAGGCCUAAACAAUGGGCCAUUACACGUAAAAACCUCUGGGCCGUAAACCCAAAAGAAAAACCGUUGGGGAAGAAAACUUCAAGCUUCCACCACAUGAUCGAUUUCCCAGCAAGCGUCAAGACGCGAGACAGAUCUCUUCCUCCGGUGCCAGAGAGACGGCACGACGGAGCUUCGCCAUCGGCAAAACAUAAACGAAGGAGAAUCCGUUCAACCGAACGGCUCUCAACUCCGACCAGUCGAGGGUCGAAUCUGACAGAUCAAACGCUUCAAUGAAACUUCAAACGACUUCAAUCAAACCCAAACCUUUGAGAUUCCUGCAUGAACACCGAUCAUCUUUAAUGAUGGAGGAGGAGCCCGAAGAUGAAAAUCACCUUAACCAAGGAAAGGAAUCCAAAAUCAAAGGCUGAGAAGGAGAAUCAAUUGAGCACGAGACCAAGAGAAGCGCUGAUCGUAUCGGAAUCGGGAGGUUACGAUGGAGAGCCGCCGUAAGCGGUGAAAAGGUCACCACUUCCCGGAGACGAAAGCCGGCGAAGACGAGGUUAUGUGAACCACCGCUUCCAAGAGACCAUCAUCUGAUCAAAAGAUCAGAAAACCAAAAAGGAUCGAGUACUCUCAUCAUCCCCCUCCGUGAAAGAUUUUUGAGAGAGAACGGAGGUGAGAGAGAGACUCGUCUCAAAUUUGAUUUUAAUACACGGUGCAAUUUAUCUUUAUAUAUUUACAUAUCAAGAAACUUGUUUGAAAACUUCCAAAUAAUUGUGUUCAUGCGGUUGCAUGUAGUUUUACGCUUCUAUGCAGUAAUCAGCGAG
rnacentral:lncRNA from 1 species